UACGGUGGGAGCAAGCGUUGUUCGGAUUUACUGGGCGUAAAGGGCGCGUAGGCGGCCAGCACAAGUCAGUUGUGAAAUCUCCGGGCUUAACUCGGAAAGGUCAACUGAUACUGUGCGGCUAGAGUGCAGAAGGGGCAACUGGAAUUCUCGGUGUAGCGGUGAAAUGCGUAGAUAUCGAGAGGAACACCUGCGGCGAAGGCGGGUUGCUGGGCUGACACUGACGCUGAUGCGCGAAAGCCAGGGGAGCGAACGGG
rnacentral:rRNA from 1 species